rnacentral:rRNA from 1 species
CGGACGGGUGAGUAAUGUCUGGGAAACUGCCUGAUGGAGGGGGAUAACUACUGGAAACGGUAGCUAUACCGCAUAACGUCGCAAGACCAAAGAGGGGGACCUUAGGGCCUCUUGCCAUCGGAUGUGCCCAGAUGGGAUUAGCUAGUAGGUGGGGUAAAGGCUCACCUAGGCGACGAUCCCUAGCUGGUCUGAGAGGAUGACCAGCCACACUGGAACUGAGACACGGUCCAG